ACAUAAUUUAUUUGCUCAGGUGCUUUGGGUAUGUGAAAGCUCAUAAACCCAAAGAUAAUAGGGAAUCCGGUGAAAUUCCGGAGCAGCACCCACUACUGUAACUUGGACGAAGCUUCCGUGAGACAAAAUCUCGCCACUGAUACCAUAUCGGGAAGGCAGGAAGCAGAGGAAGAAGAGAAGUCAGGAGACCUGCCUGGUCAAAAGCCGUUUA
rnacentral:ncRNA from 2 species